rnacentral:rRNA from 1 species
GUGNGCAACCGUAAGGAAGCAGCCGCCCAAGGUGGAGAUCGGUGAUUGGGGUG